rnacentral:rRNA from 1 species
GGGUUGUGAGGUUAAGCGACUAAGCGUACACGGUGGAUGCCCUGGCAGUCAGAGGCGAUGAAGGACGUGCUAAUCUGCGAUAAGCGUCGGUAAGGUGAUAUGAACCGUUAUAACCGGCGAUUUCCGAAUGGGGAAACCCAGUGUGUUUCGACACACUAUCAUUAACUGAAUCCAUAGGUUAAUGAGGCGAACCGGGGGAACUGAAACAUCUAAGUACCCCGAGGAAAAGAAAUCAACCGAGAUUCCCCCAGUAGCGGCGAGCGAACGGGGAGCAGCCCAGAGCCUGAAUCAGUGUGUGUGUUAGUGGAAGCGUCUGGAAAGGCGCGCGAUACAGGGUGACAGCCCCGUACACAAAAAUGCACAUACUGUGAGCUCGAUGAGUAGGGCGGGACACGUGGUAUCCUGUCUGAAUAUGGGGGGACCAUCCUCCAAGGCUAAAUACUCCUGACUGACCGAUAGUGAACCAGUACCGUGAGGGAAAGGCGAAAAGAACCCCGGCGAGGGGAGUGAAAAAGAACCUGAAACCGUGUACGUACAAGCAGUGGGAGCCUCUUUAUGGGGUGACUGCGUACCUUUUGUAUAAUGGGUCAGCGACUUAUAUUCUGUAGCAAGGUUAACCGAAUAGGGGAGCCGAAGGGAAACCGAGUCUUAACUGGGCGUUAAGUUGCAGGGUAUAGACCCGAAACCCGGUGAUCUAGCCAUGGGCAGGUUGAAGGUUGGGUAACACUAACUGGAGGACCGAACCGACUAAUGUUGAAAAAUUAGCGGAUGACUUGUGGCUGGGGGUGAAAGGCCAAUCAAACCGGGAGAUAGCUGGUUCUCCCCGAAAGCUAUUUAGGUAGCGCCUCGUGAAUUCAUCUCCGGGGGUAGAGCACUGUUUCGGCAAGGGGGUCAUCCCGACUUACCAACCCGAUGCAAACUGCGAAUACCGGAGAAUGUUAUCACGGGAGACACACGGCGGGUGCUAACGUCCGUCGUGAAGAGGGAAACAACCCAGACCGCCAGCUAAGGUCCCAAAGUCAUGGUUAAGUGGGAAACGAUGUGGGAAGGCCCAGACAGCCAGGAUGUUGGCUUAGAAGCAGCCAUCAUUUAAAGAAAGCGUAAUAGCUCACUGGUCGAGUCGGCCUGCGCG